GGACCCGCACAAGCAGUGGAGCAUGUGGUUUAAUUCGAAGAUACGCGCAGAACCUUACCAACGCUUGACAUGUUCGUCGCGAGACUAAGAGAUUAGUCUCUUCAGUUCGGCUGGACGAAACACAGGUGCUGCAUGGCUGUCGUCAGCUCGUGCUGUGAAGUGUCGGGUUAAGUCCCUUAACGAGCGCAACCCCUGUCGCUAGUUGCUAACACGUAAUGGUGAGGACUCUAGCGAGACUGCCGGUGUUAAACCGGACGAAGGUGGGGAUGACGUCAAGUCCGCAUGGCCUUUAUGCCCAGGGCUGCACACGUGCUACAAUGGCAGGUACAGAACGAUGCAAUACCGCGAGGUGGAGCAAAUCGCAAAAGCCUGCCCCAGUUCGGAUAGGAGGCUGCAAUUCGCCUCCUUGAAGUCGGAAUCGCUAGUAAUCGC
rnacentral:rRNA from 1 species